UACAGAGGUCCCGAGCGUUGUUCGGAUUCACUGGGCGUAAAGGGUGCGUAGGUGGUGAGGUAAGUCGGAUGUGAAAUCUCCGGGCUCAACCCGGAAAUGGCAUUGGAAACUACCUUGCUAGAGGAUUUGAGGGGGGAUUGGAAUACUUGGUGUAGCAGUGAAAUGCGUAGAUAUCAAGUGGAACACCAGUGGCGAAGGCGAAUCCCUGGAAAAUACCUGACACUGAGGCACGAAAGCUAGGGGAGCGAACAGG
rnacentral:rRNA from 1 species